GAGUCCCCGAGUUCCAUUAGGAAACAACGGAGAGUGUCGACAGACUGUAGGAAAAACAGUGGGACUGUAAGAAUGGGGAUGGAUUGAAUGGAUGAAAAGCAGAAGCGGGAGCUGUGGGGGAGCGGGUCGGAGAAGAAGGUCUCAACCCCGACUCUCUAGAGGAGAUGAGGGUACUAUGGAGGCCAACAACCUUAAAGCCUUCCUAGCUAUAGUCACUACAGGUUUGAGGGAACUGUGAGCUGGUUUGGGUCUGCACCUGCAUCGGGUGAAGCGCAAGAGGCCUCAGCGUAAGGGAAGCAGGGAAGGUGAGUGGAGCGAAAUUUAGAGCAGAAAUGGUGGUGGUGGUGGUGUGGUGGUGAUGAUUGUAGUAAAUACUAUCCUUAUAGUCAAGAUAAAGACAAACAAUAUUAAUAACAGUACUGUGUGGUCAUCGCAACCCAAAUAAAUCCGAAGCUUUCUCAAUUUGGGGCCGAUGGAAGAAUAGUGAAAAAGAUUUUUUCCACUGUUCCUCUCUCUCCACACUCCAUCCCUAAGAGCUCUCGGCUAGAGGCAAAUCAAUGGUGCUCAGACCCGGGGACUUGGAGCGGUAUGUCCCUAAAUUGAUUCAAGCUUCGCUUAGCAAUAAAGCUCUCUCAAUAGGGGCACAAUGGAGUCCCAGUGUGACCCGAACAAAGAAUUUGGAAGUAGUUAAACUGCAGGACACGUCCGCAGCCUGGGUGCCUGAAUUAAAAAGAAGGGGGGAGAACGAACUUUAGGAAGGGGGAGGUUUAGAGAACAUGCACAGGGGAAAAGUUGAUCGGUCGUCUUUGCUUCAGUGGCAAUGGAGCAAAUAUAAUUCAAUAGGAAAUGUAGGGAUUUCGGUAAUGAAAAGGUGGCCCGGGUUACACGCAAGUUGAGCUCUUGGGAAUCUAAUGAAAAUAAACUUCACAGAGAGAGGGCUUCUGGAUUCCCAGCAGUGAAGGAGUCUUCUUGAUUUGGGACCAAGGAAACACACGGUCACACUUCCAGAGCGAAGUGGGUAGAGAGAUAAUGAGAUAGUAUUGGGUUACAGACAAAAAAGAGAAGAUAAAGAGGACUUUAAUGUUGGAUGGAUCCAGGAAUAGAAGGAUAAAGAUUUGUACAGGACCUGAGAAAACUGGGAACUUUAACUACCAAACAGGGGAAUUCUCAAAGGUCAAGUAACAUAUACAGAUAUGUUCCCGCUUUUUAAAAAAUUCUAUCUCCAGAGUGAGAUGGUUAUCAUAUUUUCCUCCAUUUCUAGAAAUGCUUUUAGCUAUUCAUUUCUCUCUUACCUUACACUAUGUCUUCAACAUCAUGUGUUGGGGGUUGGUAGUGUGCAGCAUAUGUUUUUAUGUGAUUUUUUCUUUAAAGAAGACAGCAACAUUCUUGAAAAGAGAAAAUUUUAAAUUGUAGAGAAAAUAGCCUAGAUGUGUGGAGGCAAAGGUUCUUCUAGGGAAAAAAAGACAAACAAAGAUUAAUUAUGAGAAGGAGAAUGAGAAGAGGGAGUCAAAAGAAAGAAAAAGAAAAAGAAAUCCUUCCCUAAAAAUAUCUAAAAUGGGAGGCGCAAGGUGAGAAUACUGGAAAAGAAUCGGAAGAAAAAGAGGAAAAGAAGAUGGGGGGAAGAAUUUGGCUUAUGUCUGGACUGAAAUUGAGACACUGCCUUAAGAAUUAAAAUGGGAAACAAGGUCCCUCUAAUUAGGCAGCUGCCAGCUCCUACUGGGAGAGGCGGGCUGGAAAGGGUUAACCCUAUUGCUCAUGAACUUGGCCUGUCUGUCUGGGUUUUGAUGGAUGGUAAGACCCCGCUGACAAGUUCAGCUGGCGGGACCUCCCCUGCUGUUGCCGUUGAGAGAGACAGAGACAUAUACCCACAGACCUAGAUAUAGUGUUCAGAGACAGAGACAAGGGAUGUGGAGGGGGAGAGAGAGAGAGAGAGAAAGGGAGAGCGGUCUUUCAGAUCUUUUAACCCACAGUUCCCUCUCAUUCCAAAAGAGACCUACUCUCUCCCUCUCCACUACCCCUCAUCCACUACCCAGUACUCCUUUACAAAAAUAAUGAAAGAUGAUCUACGUUUCCAGGAGAUUCGGAUUCCGUAGCUCUAUUCCCAUCUCCUCUGAUACUAUAUAUGAGGGAAACCUCACCGGAUAAUCAGAUAAUGGGAUCACAGAAAGGAAUUCGGUCUGUGAUUAGGGUCGGGACUGAUUCCUGAUACGAGGGCAAAAAGGUUUGUGAGGGGUUCAGCGGAGUCCUAGUUCAGCAUUUGGACAGCAGCUUGGCAGGUGGAAAGAACUGGCGGGGCACUUAGUUUCCCCAGGUUCUCUAGAAAGGGAGCAAGGGUUAGUAAUAAUGGCAAAAAGUUGAGACCUGCCUUAAAGGAGGAAGGUAGGAAUGUAUCCACGAGAUCCUCAGCAAGUAUAAGACAAGGUCUAUUCAGUCUGAUGAAGCUUCGCUGAACUCAUAUUAGGGGUACCCAUCCUCCCCCUUUCCCUGUAUCCGCUACUGCCCCUGCAUUCAAGCAAAAGAUCGCUAGGCUACGGCUAGAUCUGUAAGGAAGGCACUUUAGCUCCGCGUUGAGACGCCUGGGGAAAUUUCAACCUCCCCAUUCUCAUGCUAAACCCAUUUCUUCCUCAUACCCCAAAGCUGUGAACAAGGCCUCCAUCCUGGGUCACCCUGUGCUUCUUCACCGCCACUCCCCCUCCAUUGCCCCCAUUGGUGUAGGGGGUUUUAAGUGAGAAGAGCAGCUCUCGAGGAGUGGGUGGCGGGUCUUAAGAAUGGGGGAGCUUAUAGUUGGAGUGACUAUCGUCAGGCACUGCUGGUUUGGGAAUGGCGCCGAUAUGGCACAAGCUAUGCUGAGAACCCGGAUUAAAGGGCAAAGGGCCGGAGGGCCGGGGCUCCUGAAGCCCCCUCUCUCCAAGCCUCCUCUUUGCUCUUGCCCUUUCUCCAGCUCUCCCCCCCUCUCCCCUCUGCAAUGGUUGGAGUGAGGGGGGAGAGAGGGGAGGGGAGGGGGAGGAGGAGCUGACGUCACUGCGGGCCGAGCCUGCCCGAAGAGGCGGCGCUGGGAGCAGCUCCAGAGACAGGAGAAGCUGCGAGAGGCAAGGAGCCCCCAGAGCUGGCCGCCGCCCCCCUCCUCUUCCUUGGGCCGAGGAGAGGCAAGGACUGCCGAAAGGGCGGCAGCAAGGGGCAGGAACCUGCGCUCCCCAUUACCACGGGGACUGAAGAGACCUUCCGUUCCAUUCCCAGUUCGCUGCCCAGCCCCCGCCGCUGCCUCCCCGGGCCCCUGAGCUCGGUCUCCGAGAACCCCGACCCCUUCCCCCGUCCGAGCAGCCCAAGAGGUCGCCUUUCCUUACCAGCCAGCCCUCUCCCAACCCAACACGUCGGGCGGGCUCCGGAGGCGGCGGCCAGGGGGCCUACGGGAUCGAGGCCCGUUUCUCUCUUUGGUUAUCUAGCUGUAUGAGUGUUAUUGAGCUAUCAUAAAGCUAGAUAACCGAAAGUAGAAAUGACUUUCACAACUUCUCCGAGCUGGGAGAGCCCCCCCUCCCAACCUACCACCAUCGUCUUCACGUCCCCACAAUCCCCGCCUUGUCCCAGGCGGAGAGGAGGCGGCGGUUGCAACGGAGCCUAAGGACCCAGGAACACGACUUACCAAGUAGAGGCCCGGGGCGGCCCCUACCCAGAACCAGAAGCUGAAAAACAUUUCUGAAUGGCACGAUUUGGGAGGACAAUGGAAGGGAUCCUGUGCAAAUAAGAAAGUGGCUCAACGGCUUUCAUUCAAAAAAGCUGUUGCUACCAAGAUGCACUUGAGAAAUGAACCCACCUUCAGGGCCAACAGUGUGGGCCACUUGGGUUGUUGAAAGCGCUUUGGAAAGAUUUGCUGUGUAAUCAGAGCAUGCUUCUAAUCGAAUCUUCCGGUGUAGACCUCUACACAUUAUGAUCAUAAAUGACAUGGCUGAGAAGGCGCAGGACGGAACGUGGCUUGUACUCCCAGAAGAUGGACCCUAGAGAGGGCUCACUUCUGGGGAGGAAAGUCUCCCAGGAUAGAGGUCAUGGGAAGAGAGGAUGGUGGAAGAAAAAGUCCUGUCUUCUCGAUACCCAGAAAGUGUCCAAGAGGAGGAGAAAGAAGGAAGACCUUGGAGAGUUCUGCUGCCCUACCCUACGGUAGUGCCACAGGCGCAGCAGCUCCCAAGCUGCUCGGUGCCAGGAGGCCAUUUUGAUGGAAGCAAAGAGCCUUCUGCAAGAUAAGAUGGCUGCAUGGGCACGAGGGCCCUUUGAAGUCUGAAGGAUGGUGAGGAAAAAAGGAGAAUCUGGCCCACUGAGUCAAAAGGCAGACUGAUUUUAGGUCUGGUUCAGAAGCCCAAAUGCUAAAUAAGGAAACUGAGGUUUCAGAGAUUCCCGAAAGAUCUUGUCCAUCCUAAAAGGAGCUGGGAGUAAGAAGAACUGAAUCCUUCCAAUUCUGUUAUUAACCAAAUUUUUAAAGGAGCAAGUCCCCAGCAAUGGAACAGAGAAUUGACUUUCACUGAACAACUGAUACUGGGAAGAAGACAAGAUCUUGGGAGUAAUUCCCAUUGGAGCUACUACACAAGUGCAUUUUCUGAAGUUGCCCAGAAUAUGAAAGCCAGUGAAGGAUUUGGAAAAGGAAGAGAAUAAGGAAGUCAAGAUUACUCAGAAAUGCCAGUGAAGUUUGCACAAGAGCUGAGACCUUAGAGCUGUUUUGGGACAUUGAGGACCCUCUAUGAAAACUAUUCUUUUUCAGCCUUUGAGAUACUCCUACCUCUAGUUAGGGAAAAGGAUGCAGUCAGAGUAGCUUUCAAUUGUCACGCUAGUUUUGCUUCUUCCAAUACUAAUUUUCACUCCAUCCCAUCUUCUUUUAAAUAUAUCCUCUGAUUUAAAUAAACAUUUAUUUGCCAAAUAAA